rnacentral:rRNA from 1 species
UUAUCGUUUAUUUGAUAGUACCUUACUACUUGGAUAACCGUGGUAAUUCUAGAGCUAAUACAUGCUAAAAACCCCGACUUCGGGAGGGGUGUAUUUAUUAGAUAAAAAACCAACGCCCUUCGGGGCUUCUUGGUGAUUCAUGAUAACUUAACGAAUCGCAUGGCCUUGCGCCGGCGAUGGUUCAUUCAAAUUUCUGCCCUAUCAACUUUCGAUGGUAGGAUAGUGGCCUACCAUGGUAUCAACGGGUAACGGGGAAUUAGGGUUCUAUUCCGGAGAGGGAGCCUGAGAAACGGCUACCACAUCCAAGGAAGGCAGCAGGCGCGCAAAUUACCCAAUCCCGACACGGGGAGGUAGUGACAAUAAAUACUGAUACAGGGCUCUUUUGGGUCUUGUAAUUGGAAUGAGUACAAUUUAAAUCCCUUAACGAGGAACAAUUGGAGGGCAAGUCUGGUGCCAGCAGCCGCGGUAAUUCCAGCUCCAAUAGCGUAUAUUAAAGUUGUUGCAGUUAAAAAGCUCGUAGUUGAACCUUGGGCCUGGCUGGCCGGUCCGCCUCACCGCGUGCACUGGUCCGGCCGGGCCUUUCCUUCUGGGGAGCCGCAUGCCCUUCACUGGGUGUGUCGGGGAACCAGGACUUUUACUUUGAAAAAAUUAGAGUGUUCAAAGCAGGCCUUUGCUCGGAUACAUUAGCAUGGAAUAAUAGAAUAGGACGUGCGGUCCUAUUUUGUUGGUUUCUAGGACCGCCGUAAUGAUUAAUAGGGAUAGUCGGGGGCAUCAGUAUUCAAUUGUCAGAGGUGAAAUUCUUGGAUUUAUUGAAGACUAACUACUGCGAAAGCAUUUGCCAAGGAUGUUUUCAUUAAUCAGUGAACGAAAGUUAGGGGAUCGAAGACGAUCAGAUACCGUCGUAGUCUUAACCGUAAACUAUGCCGACUAGGGAUCGGGCGAUGUUAUCAUUUUGACUCGCUCGGCACCUUACGAGAAAUCAAAGUC